rnacentral:lncRNA from 1 species
UCUCUCUCCUCCUCCUCCUCCCAGCCCACCCCCACCCCUAAAUUUUAACCUUGCAGUUAUAAUAGAUUUUCUUCCUUGGAGAAGCCCACCGGGAUUUCACCCCGAGUUACCUUGGAUCUGUGGGCUCAGGAUGAUAGUUCCAGAGGAUCCCCUGAGCAGCCACAUAGAACUGCCUUACCCGCGCGGCCUCUGCCUGGUGGCUGCCCCAGCCCGCCCAGCGGGUGCCCAGAACCACCAGGAGGAAGAAGCGCGGGCAGACUGGGAGCAUGGCCCUUGUCCUGCCGCGCGCUGCCAACGCCGACAGUGUUCAGUGCUCUGUCCCUUUUGCGUGCUGUCCUGGCUCCCUGGAGGACUAAGAAGCUGCAGGGCACAAUCUUCUGUGACCCCCUAGUACCAUCUGGAGGUUUCUGUGAAAGUCCCAGCAGCAGAGGUGUAAACAACCUCAUGGAUAUGAAACAAGGAAGACCCAGGAGAUUUUAAAGCAGGCAUCCCCUUAAACUAGAGGUCUGCCUUCCACCAACAUUGCAACUCUUCAAUCCCAAGAGAAAGACCUUCGGUUUUCCAGAGCCUGGUCAACUGGCGAGGCAGAUGCUCCAGUGCCUUGGACUAAAUCCGAUUUUCAGCAACAACAAAGUAACAACAAGCCACAGACCAGAGCAGAAACAUUUGCUCCUGGUUCUGUGGCUGAGCUGGAGGAAGAGAGCCUCAGCAAAUGCCGUGGAGUUACAGUCAAGUGUGACAGGAAACUUGACAUCUGCAUGUGGAAUCCUGAGAAAUCAAAUGAUACAUCGGGAGACCUGGUCUCUGAAAAAGAAACAAACUAAUUAAAUGACUGGUUCCUUAAAAGAUAAAGAAAUCUCUCACUGUGCACACCCCCUGACGUCUGAGACAGUUGCCUCUUUCUGGGUUCUACAGUCUACCAGCAGGAAAGGGGGUUUUUCACUGUACUGUUUGAAAAGAUGCCUUCAGAUGGUUUCUGUUCGGGUAGUACAGGGGAUUUUGAGGCAAGCCCACACUGUCAACUUCACUUCGUUAGCAACAACGGGAUCUCACACAUCCUGGAACAGGCUAUGUGCUGCUAGACCUCACAUCUGGGCGGGAAUGGAAAUCCUGGGAUAAAUUCCAUUGCCCCCUCUCUGUUACAUGUACUUGUUGCCAAUACAAUUUUACCAUAGCUUAACAUUCUAGUACAUGCUUAAAAAUCAAUACAUAUGAUGUACAGAAAAUUCAAGACUGGUC